rnacentral:rRNA from 1 species
AUGAACGCUAGCGGCAGGCUUAAUACAUGCAAGUCGUGGGGGCAGCAGGUUUGUAGCAAUACAGAUGCUGGCGACCGGCAAACGGGUGCGGAACACGUACAGAACCUUCCUUUGAGCGGGGAAUAGCCCAGAGAAAUUUGGAUUAAUACCCCAUAGUAUAAUGAAGUGGCAUCACUUUAUUAUUAAAGAUUUAUCACUCGAAGAUGGCUGUGCGGCUGAUUAGGUAGUUGGCGGGGUAAAGGCCCACCAAGCCUGCGAUCAGUAACUGGUGUGAGAGCACGACCAGUCACACGGGCACUGAGACACGGGCCCGACUCCUACGGGAGGCAGCAGUAAGGAAUAUUGGUCAAUGGAGGCAACUCUGAACCAGCCAUGCCGCGUGGAGGAUGAAGGUCCUCUGGAUUGUAAACUUCUUUUAUAUGGGACGAAAAAAGGCUUUUCUAAGUCGUCUGACGGUACCAUAUGAAUAAGCACCGGCUAACUCCGUG